rnacentral:rRNA from 1 species
CAGCAGCCGCGGUAAUACGUAGGGUGCAAGCGUUAAUCGGAAUUACUGGGCGUAAAGCGUGCGCAGGCGGUUUGUUAAGACAGAUGUGAAAUCCCCGGGCUUAACCUGGGAACUGCAUUUGUGACUGGCAAGCUAGAGUAUGGCAGAGGGGGGUGGAAUUCCGCGUGUAGCAGUGAAAUGCGUAGAUAUGCGGAGGAACACCGAUGGCGAAGGCAGCCACCUGGGCCAAUACUGACGCUCAUGCACGAAAGCGUGGGGAGCAAACAGGAUUAGAUACCCCAGUAGUCCCUGUCUCUUAUAC